ACUGGCGAACGGGUGCGUAACGCGUAGGCAACCUGCCUCUCAGCCUGGGACAGCCCCGGGAAACCGGGAUUAAUACCGGAUAUUAUCCCGGAUCGCAAGGUCCGGGAUGAAAGCGGGCUUCGGCUCGCGCUGAGAGAGGGGCCUGCGUCUGAUUAGCUUGUUGGUGAGGUAACGGCUCACCAAGGCGACGAUCAGUAGCUGGUCUGAGAGGAUGAUCAGCCACACUGGGGCUGAGAUACGGCCCAGACUCCUACGGGAGGCAGCAGUGGGGAAUAUUGCGCAAUGGGCGAAAGCCUGACGCAGCAACGCCGCGUGACCGAUGAAGCUCUUCGGAGUGUAAAGGUCUGUCCCGGGGGAAGAACGGUCCCGUUGUGAAUAAUGACGGGAUAUGACGGUACCCCGGAAGAAAGCCCCGGCUAACUUCGUGCCAGCAGCCGCGGUAAUACGAGGGGGGCAAGCGUUGUCCGGAAUCACUGGGUGUAAAGGGCUCGCAGGCGGAUCGAUCAGUCACGACUUAAAGGCCCCGGCUCAACCGGGGAGCUGGUCGUGAUACUGUCGGUCCUGAGUACGGUAGAGGGAAGCGGAAUUCCUGGUGUAGCGGUGAAAUGCGUAGAUAUCAGGAGGAACGUCGAAAGCGAAGGCAGCUUCCUGGGCCGAUACUGACGCUGAGGAGCGAAAGCGUGGGGAGCAAACAGGAUUAGAUACCCUGGUAGUCCAC
rnacentral:rRNA from 1 species